AUUUAAAUAGCUUAUUUAAAGCGAGGCUUUGAAGAGGCCCAGAAGAUUAUAAAUCUUUAAAUA
rnacentral:tRNA from 1 species